UACGUAGGGUGCAGGCGUUAAUCGGAAUUACUGGGCGUAAAGCGUGCGCAGGCGGUUUCUUAAGUCAGAUGUGAAAGCCCCGGGCUUAACCUGGGAACUGCGUUUGAAACUGGGAGACUUGAGUGUGGCAGAGGGGGGUGGAAUUCCACGUGUAGCAGUGAAAUGCGUAGAUAUGUGGAGGAACACCGAUGGCGAAGGCAGCCCCCUGGGUUAACACUGACGCUCAUGCACGAAAGCACGGGGAGCAAACAGG
rnacentral:rRNA from 1 species